GCGUCCAUUGUAAGUCUUCUAAACCUUUGGUAUAGGUUCAAAUCCUAUUAAACGCA
rnacentral:tRNA from 1 species